UCGACUACAUGAAGCUGGAAUCGCUAGUAAUCGCGAAUCAGCAUGUCGCGGUGAAUACGUUCCCGGGUCUUGUACACACCGCCCGUCACGCCAUGGGAGUUGGUAACGCCCGAAGCCAGUGACCCAACCGGAAACGGAGGGAGCUGUCGAAGGUGGGACCGAUAACUGGGGUGAAGUCGUAACAAGGUAUC
rnacentral:rRNA from 1 species